rnacentral:rRNA from 1 species
CAAAAACAUAGCCUAAAGAAUAGAUUUUAGGUCUUUCCUGCUCGGUGAUAUUUAACAGCUGCCAAUCAUAUUGGUACUAAGGUAGCGCAAUUACUUGUCUUUUAAUUGGAGACGUGUAUGAAUGGAGAAAUGGGGGGAAGCUGUCUCUAAAAAAUUAUCUAAAAGUUAUUUUCUAGGUGAAAAAACCUAGGGAAAAUCAAGGACGAGAAGACCCUGGGAUCUUUUAUAUUUUUAGUUGGGGCAACUAAGGUUUUCACCUUUUGGAGUAAAUUUUUAAGUUAGAAUAAGGUACCCCAGGGAUAACAGUAUAAUAAAAUAAUUUUGUUUGUCACCUCGAUGUUGGACUAAGAAUUCCUCAGACUAGAAGUCUGAGGAACGGCUCUGUUCGAGCCAUUUCUCUUACGUGAUC